rnacentral:rRNA from 1 species
UGUCGAGUCUGAGCGGACCGACGCGGAGCUUGCUCCCUUAGGUCAGCGGCGGACGGGUGAGUAACACGUGGGUAACCUGCCUGUAAGACUGGGAUAACUCCGGGAAACCGGGGCUAAUACCGGAUGCUUGAUUGAACCGCAUGGUUCAAUCAUAAAAGGUGGCUUUUAGCUACCACUUGCAGAUGGACCCGCGGCGCAUUAGCUAGUUGGUGAGGUAACGGCUCACCAAGGCGACGAUGCGUAGCCGACCUGAGAGGGUGAUCGGCCACACUGGGACUGAGACACGGCCCAGACUCCUACGGGAGGCAGCAGUAGGGAAUCUUCCGCAAUGGACGAAAGUCUGACGGAGCAACGCCGCGUGAGUGAUGAAGGUUUUCGGAUCGUAAAACUCUGUUGUUAGGGAAGAACAAGUACCGUUCGAAUAGGGCGGCACCUUGACGGUACCUAACCAGAAAGCCACGGCUAACUACGUGCCAGCAGCCGCGGUAAUACGUAGGUGGCAAGCGUUGUCCGGAAUUAUUGGGCGUAAAGCGCGCGCAGGCGGUUUCUUAAGUCUGAUGUGAAAGCCCCCGGCUCAACCGGGGAGGGUCAUUGGAAACUGGGGAACUUGAGUGCAGAAGAGGAGAGUGGAAUUCCACGUGUAGCGGUGAAAUGCGUAGAGAUGUGGAGGAACACCAGUGGCGAAGGCGACUCUCUGGUCUGUAACUGACGCUGAGGCGCGAAAGCGUGGGGAGCGAANCUGGAUUAGAUACCCUGGUAGUCCACGCCGUAAACGAUGAGUGCUAAGUGUUAGAGGGUUUCCGCCCUUUAGUGCUGCAGCAAACGCAUUAAGCACUCCGCCUGGGGAGUACGGUCGCAAGACUGAAACUCAAAGGAAUUGACGGGGGCCCGCACAAGCGGUGGAGCAUGUGGUUUAAUUCGAAGCAACGCGAGAACCUUACCAGGUCUUGACAUCCUCUGACCAACCCUAGAGAUAGGGCUUCCCCUUUCGGGGGCAGAGGUGACAAGUG